rnacentral:rRNA from 1 species
UACGUAGGGGGCAAGCGUUGUCCGGAAUCAUUGGGCGUAAAGAGCGUGUAGGCGGCCAAACAGGUCCGUUGUGAAAACUGGAGGCUCAACCUCCAGACGUCGACGGAAACCGUGUGGCUAGAGUCCGGAAGAGGAGAGUGGAAUUCCUGGUGUAGCGGUGAAAUGCGCAGAUAUCAGGAAGAACACCAAUGGCGUAGGCAGCUCUCUGGGACGGUACUGACGCUGAGACGCGAAAGCGUGGGGAGCGAACAGG